rnacentral:rRNA from 1 species
UGGGAUGACGUCAAGUCCUCAUGGCCUUUAUGACCAGGGCUACACACGUACUACAAUGGCCGGUACAAAGGGCAGCGACACAGCGAUGUGAAGCGAAAUCCCGAAAAAGCCGGUCUCAGUCCGGAUUGGAGUCUGCAACUCGACUCCCAUGAAGUUGGAAUCGCUAGUAAUCGCAGAUCAGCACGCUGCGGUGAAUACGUUCCCGGGCCUU